rnacentral:rRNA from 1 species
GAUGAACGCUAGCGGCAGGCCUAAUACAUGCAAGCCGAACGGCAAGUCUUUUAGCAAUAGAAGACCUAGAGUGGCGUAAGGGUGCGUAACACGUAUGCAAUCUGCCCUCAACAGGAGGAUAGCUCCCCGAAAGGGGAAUUAAGCCUCCAUAGGAUCGUAAUGUGGCAUCACAUAGCGAUUAAACUACCAGGGGUUGAGGAUGAGCAUGCGCAUGAUUAGUUAGUUGGCGGGGUAACGGCCCACCAAGACGAUGAUCAUUAGGGGAACUGAGAGGUUGAUCCCCCACACUGGCACUGAGAUACGGGCCAGACUCCUACGGGAGGCAGCAGUGGGGAAUUUUGGACAAUGGGCGCAAGCCUGAUCCAGCCAUGCCGCGUGAGUGAAGAAGG